rnacentral:rRNA from 1 species
CGAUAGCGUAUAUUAAAGUUGUUGCAGUUAGAACGCUCGUAGUCGGAUUUCGGGGCGGGCCGACCGGUCUGCCGAUGGGUACGCACUGGUCGGCGCGUCCUUCCUUCCGGAGACCGUGCCUACUCUUAACUGAGCGGGGGCGGGAGACGGAUCGUUUACUUUGAAAAAAUCAGAGUGUUUCAAGCAGGCAGCUCGCUCUUGCAUGGAUUAGCAUGGGAUAAUGAAAUAGGACUUUGGUGCUAUUUUGUUGGUUUCGAACACCGAAGUAAUGAUUAAAAGGGACAGUCAGGGGCACUCGUAUUCCGCAGAGAGAGGUGAAAUUCUCAGACCCGCGGAAGACGAACCACUGCGAAAGCAUUUGCCAGGGAUGUUUUCACUGA